rnacentral:rRNA from 1 species
UGGGGAAUAUUGGGCAAUGGGGGAAACCCUGACCCAGCAACGCCGCGUGAAGGAAGAAGGCUUUCGGGUUGUAAACUUCUUUUACCAGGGACGAAGGACGUGACGGUACCUGGAGAAAAAGCUCCGGCUAACUACGUGCC